rnacentral:rRNA from 1 species
AUGGCGGAACCAAGCAGCUCGCAGGAUAGACAGGGGAAAGAAUCAGCGGAGGAUCUGCUAGCCAGGUUAACUCUGCAGGAGGAAGAAGACGAGUUCAUAUGGGAGGAGGAGCUGCCGGACAUUGUGGAACCGGCAAGGUGGUUGGCAAUCGCUCGCGUGCAUACACCCAAGACCUUUAGCCCUAACGCGUUGUACAAUGAGAUGCGGGCGGCAUGGAACCCUGCUAAACAGGUAGUAUGGAGGAAGGUGAAAGCCAAUCUGUUCACGGCGCAGUUCGGGUGUUUAGGUGACUGGAAUAAGGCGAUGUUAGAGGGGCCGUGGCUGUUUAGGGAGCAGGCAGUGAUCAUGGAGGAAUAUGAUGGUUUCAGAAACCCCGAUACUUUUGCGCUGAAUAAACUCUCUGUAUGGGCACAGAUUCACCGGUUGCCGGACAAGUUUUUGAUUGAGCCGGCUAUGAAGGGGCUGGCAUCAAGGAUCGGUGAGGUAGAAGAAGUGCAACUGAAGUUACCAGCGGGCUUUUGGAGAAUUUGGAAGGGUCAAAGUGAAGAUAGACAUCAAUGCAAAGAUCAAGCGUUUUGUCACUUCAAAGAAGGGACAAGAGAGUUUCAAGUAUCAAGUAAAAUAUGA